UCCCUUUCCCAGGGGAGGGGCUGGAUUUACGUUGGGAGAACUUUUACGGUGAACCAGGAGGUUCUCCCAACGUAAGCCCAGCCCCUCCCCUCUGCCU
rnacentral:pre_miRNA from 1 species